rnacentral:rRNA from 1 species
AUGGAGGCACUCCGGGAGGCGACGGCCGAGCUGACGGUGUACGUGCACCCCUCCAACGCCGCCGACGUCCGCCGCGCCGUCUCCCGCCAGCUCAGCACCCUCCUAUUCUCGUAUGAAGAUCGCUUUGAUGGCGUGUUGCUGUCACAUGAAGUUGAAUUCGAAGGUGACAACGAAGAUGACCAAGACAGAAAAGUUGACGGAGAUGGGAAAAAGGUUAUCAAGGCCAAAAUCCUGGAUGGUCUGGUACCAUAUUUUGGCGUACCGGUGACUGCGAACCUGCUGCUGUUUUCUCCCCAGCCAGAGAUGAUACUAGAAGGGAAAGUUGAAAUGCUUGGCAAGGAAUCAAUUCAUGCCAUCGUCCUGGGGGUUUUCUCAGCAGCCAUUAUGUCAGAUGAUAUCCCUGAGACGUUCAAAUUCAAAAGAAGAGGACAUGGAGGAAAAUUUAUAAGCCAGUCGGACAAGCGGCAUGUGAUUAAAAAAGGAAGCAUGAUACGGUUUUCUGUUAAAAGGGUGGACACGGAAAUGAAUUGUCACAUAACUGGAUCUUUGAUGGCGCCUCACACAGGAUGCAUGCGUUGGCUUUCAGUACACGAUGCUGAAUACGCAUCAGAAAUUAGCAGGGGCAAAAGGAAAUCAAGGGAUCACAUUAAGAGCGAGCAGAUUGUACAAGACCGCUCAACUGUGAACAGCGAAGAUGGCAUGGUGAAUUCUGAACGACGACGCAAGUCCCGAAAGAAGACCGUUGAGGAAUAA